rnacentral:lncRNA from 1 species
CGGGGCCAAAUGGGAGAGGCCUCAGGGCCUACCGAGCCCCGAUGAGGGAGCCCCACGUGCUGACCGUUCUUCUCCUCUGACUGGCGCGCGUGCCCCGAAGCCAACGGCUUCGGCGGCUAGCUCCGCCCCUAUCCCGUGACCAGGGCUCUGCCACAGGCUCCAGAAAUCAUUAGACACCUCUGAGCUGUGGGGGAGGGGUGCAAAGCGACCUCCAGGGGUUCCCUCGCCACCCCUCUCUGAGGCAGGGGCGAUUCACACCCCUAGUUACCAAUGAGGAAAGGAGCUGGGAAGAGCCUCAGUGACAUCCCCAGAAUCACAGCUAAAAAAAACCUGAGGUUAAAUUCGAACUCAGGUCUUGCUGCCCAAGUCCAGGGGUCUCUUUUUAGUUCCUUUCCACUGACUUCCAUAUUAUGGGAUCAUAGACCUAGAAGUGGCCCUACAGGCCGCCUAGUUCCACCUUCUCCCAAUUUUUCAGAUGAGGAAACUGAGGCCCAGGGAGGCUAAGUGCGACAGCAUCGGAGGAAAGAUUUGAACUCAGCUCUACGAGCUCUAAAGCCCAGGUCCCUUUCUGGUCCCGAUGACCCACUGCCUACCUCCUUCUGGCUCCUUGAAAGCCUAUGCCAUUCAUCAGUGGGGUCCCCUGCCUCUCCUCGCCCCUCCCCCCGUCAUGACUGCCCACUCCACCCCAGGGCCCUCCGUCCUUCCCCUGCCUUUCCCCCUCUGCCCUGUUGUUUCUUCACCUUUGAGACACAGGCACCAUUUCAAGACCCUGAAGGCUUGCACAAUCCCUUCCCAGAUCUCCGGGGUUGGAAGCCCACAAAGGAAGGAUCGGGUUAACGUGCUUGAGGAGGCACCUACUGACUGCUGGGCACAGGAGACAGAAACAAAGGCCAAACGGUGCCUGCCAAAUAUCCUCAGGCCAUGUGGAUUAUCUGUUUUGGUAUCCUGGAACUUCAAGUUGGAAGAGACCUCAGAGAUCCUCUAGUCUUGGAGCCACAAGACAGGAGUUCUAAUUCCAACUCCAAUAAUCAUUUUUGUUGUUAUGUCUGAUGUUUCGUGACCCCAUUUGGGGCUUUCUUCUCUUCUCUUCACCGAAUUUGUUUUUCAAUUACAUGUAGGAACACGGUUUGACAACAGUUUUCUGGCAUUUUGUGAUUCAGAUUUUCUCUUCCCACCCCCCACCCAGAGGUGGUAAAUAGUUUGACAUUGUUUAUGUCAGUGCUUUCAUGCAAUACAUAUUUCCAUAUUCCAUUGGAGGCUUUUUUUAAUAGAGAUACUAGAAUAGCAACUUUUAUAGAUGAGAAAACUUAGGCAAACAGGGUGAAAUGACUUCCUCAGGGUCACACAACUAUUAUGCUUCUGAGACUAGAUUUGAAUUCAGGAUGUUGAGGCUUCCUGACUCCAUACUGCCUCAAUAAUCAUUAGCUUCAUGAUUAUGGGCAAGUCAGUGAACUCUUAAGACCUCAGUUCCUUCAACUAAAAAUAAGGAUGUUAGACUUGAUCUGCCUAAUAAAUGAUAACAUUUAUUAUACCUACUGUGUGCU